UACGGAGGGUGCAAACGUUGCUCGGGAUCAUUGGGCGUAAAGCGCACGUAGGUGGCCUGUUAAGUCGGGUGUGAAAUCCCUGGGCUCAACCCAGGAAGUGCACUCGAAACUGGCAGGCUUGAGUACUGAAGAGGGUCGCGGAAUUCCCGGUGUAGAGGUGAAAUUCGUAGAUAUCGGGAGGAACACCAGUGGCGAAGGCGGCGACCUGGGCAGAUACUGACACUGAGGUGCGAAAGCGUGGGGAGCAAACAGG
rnacentral:rRNA from 1 species